rnacentral:rRNA from 1 species
UACGUAGGGGCUAGCGUUGUCCGGAAUCAUUGGGCGUAAAGAGCGUGUAGGCGGCCACUUAAGUCCUGCGUGAAAUCUUGCGGCUCAACCGCAAGCGGUCGUGGGAAACUGGGUGGCUAGAGUGCGGGAGAGGAGAGUGGAAUUCCUGGUGUAGCGGUGGAAUGCGCAGAUAUCAGGAAGAACACCCGUGGCGAAGGCGGCUCUCUGGAACGCAACUGACGCUGAGACGCGAAAGCGUGGGGAGCAAACAGG